GAGCUUAGCUGGUCUAGAAAUCCUAUUACUCCCUCAUUUUUCUCUUAUUUUCCUAUCAUCCUUGUCUUGGUCUUCAUUGUCGGGAAAUGCAAGAGGAUGAAGUAGAGCU